rnacentral:lncRNA from 1 species
UGGAAUUUUGUAAAUGAGGUGUUUUUGCUAAUUGAUCAAUUUUCACUCAAAUGGCAAGGUGUGUGUGUACAGCUGCGAACUUGGGCCUCAAACAUAUCCAAAACCUGUUUUCAGAACCAUUUCAAUUGAUAGAAAGUGUUGGGAAUGGUUAUUUUGCAAAGUCAUUUUUUCACUUCACUUGAAAUAAUUCAAACCACUUCAAAAAUGCCAUUUUGCUUGGUUGAGUUUUGGUAAAAUGUGAUUGAAGAUUUGGAAAGAGGGCAUCAAAUAUGAC